GAGUUUGAUCGUGGCUCAGAUUGAACGCUGGCGGCAUGCCUUACACAUGCAAGUCGAACGGCAGCAUGAUCUAGCUUGCUAGAUUGAUGGCGAGUGGCGAACGGGUGAGUAAUACAUCGGAACGUGCCCUGUAGUGGGGGAUAACUAGUCGAAAGAUUAGCUAAUACCGCAUACGACCUGAGGGUGAAAGUGGGGGACCGCAAGGCCUCAUGCUAUAGGAGCGGCCGAUGUCUGAUUAGCUAGUUGGUGGGGUAAAGGCCCACCAAGGCGACGAUCAGUAGCUGGUCUGAGAGGACGAUCAGCCACACUGGGACUGAGACACGGCCCAGGCUCCUACGGGAGGCAGCAGUGGGGAAUUUCGGACAAUGGGCGAAAGCCUGAUCCAGCAAUGCCGCGUGUGUGAAGAAGGCCUCGG
rnacentral:rRNA from 1 species